CUGGUUCUCCCCGAAAGCUAUUUAGGUAGCGCCUCGUGAAUUCAUCUCCGGGGGUAGAGCACUGUUUCGGCUAGGGGGCCAUCCCGGCUUACCAACCCGAUGCAAACUGCGAAUACCGGAGAAUGUUAUCACGGGAGACACACGGCGGGUGCUAACGUCCGUCGUGAAGAGGGAAACAACCCAGACCGCCAGCUAAGGUCCCAAAGUCAUGGUUAAGUGGGAAACGAUGUGGGAAGGCCCAGACAGCCAGGAUGUUGGCUUAGAAGCAGCCAUCAUUUAAAGAAAGCGUAAUAGCUCACUGGUCGAGUCGGCCUGCGCGGAAGAUGUAACGGGGCUAAACCAUGCACCGAAGCUGCGGCAGCGACGCUGAUGCGUUGUUGGGUAGGGGAGCGUUCUGUAAGCCUGCGAAGGUGGCCUGUGAGGGUUGCUGGAGGUAUCAGAAGUGCGAAUGCUGACAUAAGUAACGAUAAAGCGGGUGAAAAGCCCGCUCGCCGGAAGACCAAGGGUUCCUGUCCAACGUUAAUCGGGGCAGGGUGAGUCGACCCCUAAGGCGAGGCCGAAAGGCGUAGUCGAUGGGAAACGGGUUAAUAUUCCCGUACUUGGUGUUACUGCGAAGGGGGGACGGAGAAGGCUAUGUUGGCCGGGCGACGGUU
rnacentral:rRNA from 1 species